AACGAACGCUGGCGGCACGCUUAACACAUGCAAGUCGAACGGUAUGGUAACUUGUUACCAGAGAGUGGCGGACGGGUGAGUAACGCGUGGGAACCUACCCUUUAGUUUGGGACAACCAUGGGAAACUAUGGCUAAUACCGGAUACGCUCGAGAGAGGAAAGAUUUAUCGCUAAAAGGAUGGGCCCGCGUAGGAUUAGGUAGUUGGUAGGGUAAAGGCCUACCAAGCCUGUGAUCUUUAGCUGGUCUGAGAGGAUGGCCAGCCACACUGGGACUGAGACACGGCCCAGACUCCUACGGGAGGCAGCAGUGGGGGAAUAUUGGACAAUGGGGGCGAACCCUGAUCCAGCGAUGCCGCGUGAGUGAAGAAGGCCUCGGUUG
rnacentral:rRNA from 1 species